AGAGUUUGAUCCUGGCUCAGGAUGAACGCUGACAGAAUGCUUAACACAUGCAAGUCUACUUGAUCCUUCGGGUGAAGGUGGCGGACGGGUGAGUAACGCGUAAAGAACUUGCCUUACAGACUGGGACAACAUUUGGAAACGAAUGCUAAUACCGGAUAUUAUGACUGAGUCGCAUGAUUUGGUUAUGAAAGCUAUAUGCGCUGUGAGAGAGCUUUGCGUCCCAUUAGUUAGUUGGUGAGGUAACGGCUCACCAAGACGAUGAUGGGUAGCCGGCCUGAGAGGGUGAACGGCCACAAGGGGACUGAGACACGGCCCUUACUCCUACGGGAGGCAGCAGUGGGGAAUAUUGGACAAUGGACCAAAAGUCUGAUCCAGCAAUUCUGUGUGCACGAUGAAGUUUUUCGGAAUGUAAAGUGCUUUCAGUUGGGAAGAAGUCAGUGACGGUACCAACAGAAGAAGCGACGGCUAAAUACGUGCCAGCAGCCGCGGUAAUACGUAUGUCGCAAGCGUUAUCCGGAUUUAUUGGGCGUAAAGCGCGUCUAGGCGGUUUAGUAAGUCUGAUGUGAAAAUGCGGGGCUCAACCCCGUAUUGCGUUGGAAACUGCUAAACUAGAGUACUGGAGAGGUAGGCGGAACUACAAGUGUAGAGGUGAAAUUCGUAGAUAUUUGUAGGAAUGCCGAUGGGGAAGCCAGCCUACUGGACAGAUACUGACGCUAAAGCGCGAAAGCGUGGGUAGCAAACAGGAUUAGAUACCCUGGUAGUCCACGCCGUAAACGAUGAUUACUAGGUGUGGGGGGACUGACCCCUUCCGUGCCGCAGCAAACGCAAUAAGUAAUCCACCUGGGGAGUACGACCGCAAGGUUGAAACUCAAAGGAAU
rnacentral:rRNA from 1 species